UGGGGAAUUUUGCACAAUGGAGGAAACUCUGAUGCAGCGACGCCGCGUGAGUGAUGAAGAUCUUCGGAUUGUAAAACUCUGUCCUUAAUGAAGAUAAUGACAGUAACUAAGAAGCAAGCCCUGGCUAAAUACGUGCCAGCAGCCGCGGUAAUACGUAUGGGGCAAGCGUUGUCCGGAAUUAUUGGGCGUAAAGGGUACGUAGGCGGUUUAAUAAGUCCUAAUUAAAAGGCUAUGGCUCAACCAUAGUAUGGUUAGGAAACUGUUGAACUUGAGUAGAUGAGGGGAAAGUGGAAUUCCAUGUGUAGCGGUGAAAUGCGUAGAUAUAUGGAGGAACACCAAUGGCGAAGGCAACUUUCUGGAAUCAAACUGACGCUGAGGUACGAAGGCGUGGGGAGCAAACAGG
rnacentral:rRNA from 1 species